rnacentral:lncRNA from 1 species
UCUGAUGCUCGAUUUUCGCAUUUGCGAACAUAAGUUCGCAAUUGCGAACUAUGGUUAUACUAUUUGACUUCACAUUUGUGAUAAGAACUUCGCAUUUGCGAAGGUUGACUACUUAGUUGACUUUCACAUUUGCGAGGUAUUCUUCGCAUUUGCGAAGACUGCCUGAUUGCCCUUUCUUCUCAAUUGCGAGAAACUUCUCGCGAUUUCCAUCAUUGAUAACUUCGCAAUUCCCAGGUAUAUGUCGCAUUUGCUACAACUGAGGCCCCUUUCCAGAUUUUCUUCUUUUUAACUUCUUUUUGACUCGUUUCACUUUGUUCCUUCAAGAUCACUUCUAAAUCACAUAGAACCUGUAAUAUAGAAGUAAAUGGCAUUAAACACAUAAUUUUAUCACUCAAACAUAGCAAAAAUGUAGGCUUAAAGACAAGAUAAGUUGGUAAAAUACCCAAAAUAACCACUCGUAUACUGACAUAGGCCGGUAAGGCCAUAUAAUCUUUUAUAUACAUGACAUCUGUCUACAAGCCUCUAAGAAUACAUAAUUUUCAUAGAGGUCGGGACAAAAUCCCUCCAUACCAAACAAUACACAUCUAAAUCAUACUAACCAAACAUGCAACUCCGAAGCAAAUGGAGCGCAUCAACAUCUUCCGCUGAGCAGAUAGCCUACUUGGAGGGCUCUCGACCUAUCUAUCGGGACUUGCGGGCAUGAAACGCAGUGUCCCCAGGCAAAAGGGACAUCAGUACAAAUAAUGUACCGAGUAUGUAAGGAAUAAAAAUAAGUAAAUAAUAGACAUGCGAAAAACAUGGAGUAAAAGACUCGACAUGUACAUUUGCAUAGCUCAAUGAAUCAUUUCAUUUUUAUAAUGUCAUGCAUAUGCGUAUAAAUGUCAUACCAUGCAUGGGUAUAUGUGUUCAUAGCAUCAUCAACCCUCUGAGGGCAUCCCAUUAUAUCAUCUCGGCCACUGUGGGCGAAAUCAUCAAAG